rfam:Aedes aegypti strain Liverpool supercont1.980 genomic scaffold, whole genome shotgun sequence.
CAAUCGGCCCUUUUCAGGGCCAACAUACUUUAAAAGGGUUUAU